AAUCUUGCGCAAUGGGCGAAAGCCUGUCGCAGCCAUGCCGCGUGAAUGAUGAAGGUCUUAGGUUAGUAAAAUUCUUUCUCCGGGGACGAUAAUGACGAUACACGGAGACGAAGCUCCGGCAAACUUCGUUCCAGCAGCCGCGGUAAUACGAAGGGGGCUAGCGUUGCUCGGAAUUACUGGGCGUAAAGGGCGCGUAGGCGGAUCGUUAAGUCAGGGGUGAAAACCCGGGGCUCAACCUCGGAAUUGCCCUUGAUACUGGCGAUCUUGAGUAUGAGAGAGGUAGGUGGAACACCGAGUGGAGAGGUGAAAUUCGUAGAUAUUCGGAGGAACACCAGUGGCGAGGGCGACAUACUGGCUCAUUACUGACGCUGAGGCGCGAAAGCGUGGGGAGCAAACA
rnacentral:rRNA from 1 species